UACAGAGGUCCCAAGCGUUGUUCGGAUUCACUGGGCGUAAAGGGUGCGUAGGCGGUCGGGUAAGUCUGAUGUGAAAUCUCACAGCUUAACUGUGAAACUGCAUUGGAUACUAUCCGGCUAGAGGAAUGGAGGGGAGACUGGAAUACUUGGUGUAGCAGUGAAAUGCGUAGAUAUCAAGUGGAACACCAGUGGCGAAGGCGAGUCUCUGGACAUUUCCUGACACUGAGGCACGAAAGCUAGGGGAGCAAACAGG
rnacentral:rRNA from 1 species